rnacentral:pre_miRNA from 1 species
CAGCCUGUGACACUCAAACUGGGGGCUCUUUUGGAUUUUCAUCGGAAGAAAAGUGCCGCCAGGUUUUGAGUGUCACCGGUUG